GACGUAGGGCGCGAGCGUUGUCCGGAUUUAUUGGGCGUAAAGAGCUCGUAGGCGGUUUUGUCGCGUCUGCUGUGAAAACUGGAGGCUCAACCUCCAGCCUGCAGUGGGUACGGGCAAACUAGAGUGCGGUAGGGGAGAUUGGAAUUCCUGGUGUAGCGGUGGAAUGCGCAGAUAUCAGGAGGAACACCGAUGGCGAAGGCAGAUCUCUGGGCCGUAACUGACGCUGAGGAGCGAAAGCAUGGGGGAGCGAACAGG
rnacentral:rRNA from 1 species